UGAACUUCUAAGCUGUGAUGUAAGUAGCUAUGUAAAACCAUUUUUAUCUUCUUUAUUGGUAUUCAGACCUCCACAGCUUAUUUACCUCUGCUGCUGCUGUGUCUAUGCAUUGAUUUAACAGGAUUUAGUGGCACACCAUUCGUUUUUUGCUCUUAAACAAUCCCCAAAUACCUUCCAGAACUAAAAUAGAUAAUUACAGGCACCAACUAGCAUAGCAAUGUGUUAUUAAUGUUUUUAAACCAACAUCUCUAAUACAUUCGUUUGGGUUUGUGAAAUUGCAGACAUGUGGAAAAUACAUACUAGAAUAUUAGGGCAAUUUAUUUUUAAGAAAGUGCUAAUUUAUUUAUUAACAAUUUAAUAAAAUUCUUAUGUCUGCAAUCGCCAAGGGCCAAGAACAUUAUUUUUUACAUGCCGGAACACAAAAGGAAACACGCCUUUACAGAGAAAUUUACUCUAUAUUUUGGCUGUUGGACUUCAGAGCAAGAAACAGAAAGUAAUUUAAUUGAAAGUAUUUUUUCUUAAUGUGAAAUACUUGAACUCUCAAAAUAGGAUAGUAAAACAUGUUUUAAUACACAUUGCUUCUAAUAACACUGGAUGAUUGUGACAAUCUUUGAUAUGAAUACCCAUCUUUUCUUAAACACAGUUAUGAAAUUCAUAUUUUGCCUGAAUUCAUAAUGUUAAACUUUCCUUCAAUGAAAAAUAAAGGAAUUUUCUGUUAUUUUGUGUCUAAAACUUGAGAGAACCCUCUCUUCUACUUAAAAAUUUUAUUUAUAUUUUUAGCAUUUUUGACAAAAUAAGUAGAACAGAAAUAAUUUCAAGUUUUAUGAAGAUGUAUAUCCUAUCUGUGUAUCCUCACUGUAUGAAAUAACAUAAAAGUGAUUGUUACUUUUCUGUUGCCUGUACACUAUAUUAAUAUACUGUGUUAAUAAAGUUAAUAUAGAACUACUUGUUUUUGAAGGAAAAAAAGAAAGUUUUAAGUUCUGACACAAAUUGUUUUUAGAUACUUAUAGACUUUAUAUUUUUUUUCUAAAAACCAUUAAAGUUAUGCUUCUUUUUUGAAUUUUUCUAUCACAUUGAUUUUAAUGUAAAUACCUGUUUUAUCUUUUGACCACAAUGCAUCCUGAUUUCUAGCAUUACACAUUAUUGAAAUGAUGUUGGUCAUGAUAUUUAUUUAUUUAUUUAUCUAUUUAUUUAUUUAUUUAUUUGUGGGCAGAGUACCAGGGAUUUAACUCAGGGGCACUUGGCCCUAUUUUGUAUUUUAUUUAGAGAUGGGGUCUCACUGCAUUGCUUAGCACAUCAGCCUCCCAAGCUACUGGGAUUACUUACAGGCAUGCACCACGGUUACUGAUCUGGUUAUUAUUUUUAAAAGAAAAUGUUUUUUAUGGAGUUUGAAGAGAAUUUACUACAAGUUAUUCAGUAUUUAUCUCUUUUGGAAGAUGUUUUGUUUCCCAUCGAAAAAUUUUUCAAUACCUAUUUGUAUAUCAGUACCUAGAAUAUAAAUCCAAAUGAUUUUUAGAAAUAACAAUAGCCCAUGAAUUUACACAUCUGCACCUCACAGAGUUUUUCAGUAAGAACAAUGAAACUAUAAUUCCCACCAAAUUAUAUUCCAACAAAACAGGUGUUACAGGUUUUCUUAGAAUCCAUCUAUUUCAAAUCCCUCGGUUUUUAUGUAAGUUGAUUGAAUUCCACAAAGAUGAAGUCAUUUGUCCACUACCACAUAAACUUUGUGAGAGUGUGUACUCUGUGUAAAAAGUAAUAUGUUCUUAAAAGAAGGAAAAGGAAACACACUGUGCAUGUCAACUCAAAUAUUCCAUUUUAAUCCGUUCAAUGAAAAGAUGUUUGGGAGACUGAAUUCUAACUUCCUGAAUGACUGAACAUGAAUAUAAAAUGCAACACUAGCAGUGACUACAUGUGAAGAUUGGUUACUGAGGAAUGGAUGAUACUUCUGGGGAAACAGCUAAGCUGUGAACUGUUAUAUCCUAACACUGUAGCUACCAGCAGCCUCUUAUGAAUAUGCCCAUCUGUGCCUUAUACUUUUCUCAUUUCUACAAAAUUUCUUAUGUCAACAGUGUUUAUAUUUCUAAACAUGUAAAUAAAAAUGAAAAAUUAAACCAUAGAAAAUAGAAUUCCUCCUAAAAUAUUAGUUUUUUCUAGCUUGUUUUUAUAUAUGACUGUAAAAGCUUAAUGUAUUUGACUGUAUUGAAUUAAGGAAUAAUUCUUUCUUGGCAGUGAGUCUUUAAAGAACCCACUUAUAUAAGUCUAUAUUAUUAUUUGAGUAGUUGUUUAAAAUAGAAUAGGAAUCUGUUUUAAAGAUUUCAUGUUUCACAUUUCCUACUGAUGCAUUCAAAGGCAUAUUAAUCAGAAUCAACAAAUAAAAAUGUAUGAAGGCAAGUGGAUAUAACUUUAUUAAUAGGGCAUUUUGUAUGUAAAAAAUUGGGGAGGGAAAUAUUUUAAAUAAACAAGUUAUAAAUAUGUAAAAUACUUUAAGAAUGAUGAGUUACAUUACUAUUUGGAAGUAUGUGAUUCAUCUAUAUUAUAAUUUCUCCCAUGACCAGAAGACAUUUAAUAUACUUCUAAAAUAUUAUUGAAUAUUUCUACAUAAAAAAAUAAAAAAUUAUUAAUUAUUCAAUUUCAUACUGUUUUAUAUUUUUGAUGUAUAUAUUUAUAUUUUGAUUUUGAUUUUAUAAUUUUAUUUUAUAAUCUUGUUUUAAUGUUUCAUUUUUAAUUUUAUAUUCAAUUUUUACAUUCAAUGUUAAUUUUCAAAAAUAUAGUAUAUAUAGAUAUGUGUCAUAUCUAUUUAUAAUUUAAAAGCAGUGCUUAAAAGAAGAAAAGGAAAAAUCUUGUAGAAAUCUUGUUCAUUAUGACUGGUAAUUAUAUUCCCUUAUCGAAUAAAGCUUUCUUUAGCUGCCAAUAUUAGCCAUAAACUGUUCUUUACUGAUCAUUCAGGAUAAUGUUUCAUGGGUAUAAAUGUUAGCAUAUAUGAGACCAUGAGACUACGAGUCAUCAUAAAUAUCACUAUUUAAAAAGAUCAUUGUUGCUACACAUUUUGAAUAAGGUACAAAGAAAAAUUUACUCACUAAAAAUCCACUGUAGUGAGUAAAUUUAAAGGUCUGUGCAGUAAACUUCUGUCCUAAAAAGAUUUAUCAGGAGUUUUGAAACUAAUGUUAGUGUACAAUAUGCUCUGAUUUCUAAAGCACCUAGUACAAUUUUUUUUAUAAAACAAAUUAAAGUGUCUCAGCACAGGCCCAUAAUUAUAAUACUUCUGUGAUGAUGAAAAUUGUUAAAUAAAUGAUGAAUGUGUCUUAAAUAAUCAAUGCCAAUUUAACCCUGUUCACCUUCCUCUGUCUGCUCAGGCUUAGUUUAUUGAAAGAUCAAAGAAUAAUUUCUUAGGUGUCACUUGUGUUAUUAAAACAUGAUGGAAGAUGAAUAGAUAUAGUCAAGUAGCAAUGUUGCCCAUUAUAAAAUUACAUUAACAGGCAGGGAAGAUUUUUCUGAUUGCAUCAAAUAUAAAAUAUAUAUAUAUAUGCUUCAACAUAGCACAUAUGCUAUUCAUAAAUAUUUUAUAGCUUGAAUUACUGAAAAUAACUUUUGAUUAGAAUAUUUAAGAGAAAAUAGGCAAAAUACUAUAGUGAAGAACUUACAUCCUGAGAGUAGGAAAAUUCCACUACUUUUAUUAAUUUAACAUGUUAAUAAUAGUAUUUUUCUUGCUUGUUAGGUUUUAUAGAAGAUUUUUAAAUAAAUUUUAUUCUUUUAAGUAUAAAUUUUCCUUUCAAUUAAUGUAUAACUUUGACUGAAUAGUCACAAAAAUCUCUAAAUUUCUGUUUAAGCCAAGCGUGCUAGUUUUAAGUAAAGAGAUUUACUACUUUCAUUGCAUCAACUUUUAUUAUUAGUGUUUUACACUGAUAUUUAAUGUUCACUAGUCUUGAACUUGAAAGGUAUUAUUCACCUUUUUUAAGUGCUUUGAAGCUAUCAGAUAGUUCAUUAAAUAGUAAAUUAUUAUUAAUUUAUAUUAGUCUAAAUAUCAUUAGUGGUUUUUAUGUGUCCCUUUAAAAUUGGUCAGAUUGUGGUAUCACACAGUCAGGUCUAAAAAAAUCAUGAAUCAAUUUUGUAAUGGAUGUUCAUUCCUUUGUUUGUUUUUGAAAUAUUUUAAUGUACUUUCCAAGUGAUAAGAUUUGCUUCACAGGGGCUGGGUUUUUAGCUCAGUGGUAGAACACUUGCCUAGCACAUGUGAGGUACUGGGUUUGAUAUUCAGGACCACAUAAUAAAUAAAUAAAAGUAUUAUACCCAUUACAACUAAAAACUAUUUUUAAAAAGAUUUGUUUUAUAAUUAUUGCUUCUAUUUAUAAGUUAGGAAAAUAAAAAUAAUAAUAAUAAAAUGUGUAUGCUUUAUGAAUGCCCGUAUUGACAAAAUUCUCAAUUGCAAUUUUCUUUGUAUUUUGCAAUCUCUACUACUUUUAUUAGAUUUAAUUUUGCAUGUGCUCUGGCACAGGGUAUUAUGGGGAGUUCUUAAAAAUAUGAAAAUAGAAAAAAAAAUGAAAAUAGUUUAUCAUGUCCUAUUCAUUAAAAAAUAAAAAUGAUUAGCUUUAUUGCAAUUGUUUUAUUAGCUAUUAGAUAGAGAAGGGACUAUUUUUUGUUAUGCUAAUAUUUAUGUUAGCCUUUGCAUUAAGCCCAAUUCUAAGAACUAAAUCACUUUCAAUUAAAGCUCUCUCAUCCAGCUGCUGAUAAACUAGUUUAUUAAAGCUUUCUAUUUAAGUUUCAUUCAUUGCUAUCAUCUUUCCUGGCAUUUGUUAGGGGAAAAAAAAAUCUUUCCACACACUUCAUUUAUUUAUAUUCAUUUAUCUCAGACAUUUCUGUUUAUUUUAUAAAUUUUAAAAAAUCAAAUUUAUAAACUGAGCUACAUUUUCUGAGUUUUUUCUUGGACAUUAUCUUUCAUAUUACAUUUAAGAUAACUUUUAGACAAGAACAUUCAUUAAAAAUAUUAACAUGAUUAUAUGUCACAGACAUGUAACAGGCAUCUAGGCUUAAUAUUUGUUGAAUUAAUGCAUGGAUAGAUUUUCGAAAGUAAUGUUCUAAGGGCAUCACUUUUGAAUAUCUAUUCAUGCACUAAUUCAAAAAAUAUUACUAUUUCCCCUAGGAGCCGGUUUCUUCUCUAGGUAUUUGGAAACAUUCUUUAACAAAACAACAAAUAUUCCCACAUGGAGUUUGCAAUUGCUAAGGGCAUACUUACACAAUAAGCAUGAUAUAAUAAAUAAGCAAAUUAUAUAAUACAUUAGAAAGUGCUUACAUGCAAUGUAAGAAAGAAAAAUACAUGAGGAAAUGAUAAUUGGGAGUGUAUCAGGUAGGGGUCAGGACUAUGAUCAAAUUUGAACAGGGUGAUCUUAGUAGGUUUGAGGAUGAUAUGUGAAAUUUGAAGGAGGUGAAGUAAAAAUCAUAUUUAAUUAAAAAAAUUGUAAUGUGAUACAUGAAAAUUCCUCAAAGCCUCUCAGUCAGUAACAGAUUGCUUUACCUUUGCCACAUCCCUAGAUAAGAAUAGUCACCUUCAUUUAUAGGCUAUGAAGUGUGAAAAAAUGCAUUCUGUACUAUUAAACCUAGAAAUGGAUCCAGCAUAUCAACAGACUCAUGCUUGAAAAACACAGCCCCCUGAGGGAAAAAUGACACUCAGGCCUGGAUGUAUAUUCACUUGGCAAAAGCACUGAGGAGAAAGCUGGGCAAGAUCAACCACAGCAUAUAUGCAUUUGUUUUUAUAUGUUUAUUUGGUUUUGUACUGUUUCCUCUUAUCCUUCCUCUUCUUCCUUAUCCUCCUCCUCCUCCCUUUUUCUCCCUCCCACUUAUGUUCACUUUGCUCUCUUCUGAAUAUGCCAUUUAACAAGAGCAGGCAAAGUUGAAUUUAUAUACAUAGUCGUCCUUCAGUAUCCAAGAGGGAUUGAUUCUAAGAAUCCCCAUGGGAUACUCAAACCCUCAGUGUACAUCCUCUUAUAUACUUUAAAUCAUUUCUACAUUACUUAUAAUAUCUAAUAACAUGUAAAUGCUAUGCAAGUAGUCGUUAAAUUAUAUUAUUUAGGGAAUUAUAAACAAAUAAAUCUGCAUAUGUUUAAUACAAAUUUUCUGAUUAUUUAUGAUCUAUUGUUGGUCGAAUCUGUACAGACAGAACUUGUGGAUGCAGAGGGCCAACUGUCCUUUAAAUGUAUAAUCAACCUCAUUGUAUAUCAGUACUUUCUUAUUGUAAGAUGUGCUAAUAAAAGUACACAAAUAUGAAAAUAACUCAAUAAUUAUUUAGUGACAUGAACUAAUAAAUAAAUGGUUAAUGUUUUCACAGUACUAAAUAUCUAUGACAAAUCAGUAUGCUUUGAUUUAUUCAGAAAAAAUCAUACAGAUGAGGAUAUUGCUGUUAUAUUAUCAUUCUAUAUUACUUUUUAUAUCCAACAAUUACUUGGAAAUGAUUACCGUAUGCCAUUUAGAAAACUGCAUAAAAUGCAGAUCAUCAUAGCAACCAGUGAUUUUAAAACAAAAGUGCCAAUAUGUGGUUGCUCUUAUAGCAUCACACUGGGAGCUUCUAACUCCUAUCUUUGAAGCCUGGUCUUCCCUGGAGCGUCUCCAGAUCUUGAAUUCAGUGAUGACUGCAUAGAAUGAGUACCAAUUAACUGUCAACAUAUUGUUAAGAGAAUUUAUGAUUGAUAUCCUUGUAGGAAAAAAAAAAUAGCAAGCCUAGAUGUCAACUAUGAAAGUUUUUAUAAUCAUGAAAAUAUUCAUUAAAAUGAAACAAUGAAAGCACACAGGGAAGGAGAAGAUAGGGAAGUUGAUGGUCAACGUGUAUAAAAUUUCAGUUAGGAAGAAUAAGUUUUGAAAUUACACAGCUGAGAGAGCAUAAUCAACCCUAUGUACUGUAUAUCUUAAAAUAACUAAGAAUAUUAUAUCACAAAAAAAGGAUGAGUGAAGUGAUGGAUAUGUUAAUUAGCUUGAUGUAAUCAUUCCACAUUGUGUAACUAUAUCAAAACACCAUAUUUUAUCCCAUACAUGUAUGCAGUUAUGAUUUGUAGAUUAAAAAUGUGUUUUAAAAGUCUACAUACAACAAUAUUUUUAUAUAGAUUAAACUAUUAACCAUUGAUAUUUAUAGAAACUAUGUUGAUUUAGGGGUAGUAUUGGUAAUAGAGGGGAAAAAAACAUAUAUUCAUUGAAAAAAAUGUUUCCCAGUUUGUCUAAUUCCAAAUCAUAGACUUCUACUUGUAUAGGAAAUCUAAAUUUACUUCCAAAAUAUUCUAAUAUUUCCUUUGAAUUUAGAAGUUUUUUCCAGUAAAUAGUGUGCUAAAGGGCAUUGCAUAAUGAGGCCAUUCUGAAGGAAGUUUUGCUCCUCUUUGGGGGAAAAACACAAAGUAUAGAUUCCUAAUUUCUCAGUGCCUAUUUACGGUAUGUUAUGCAAUCAUAGCUAAUUAGAAUAGGUAUUAAAUAGUUCUAAGACUUUGAUCAGGUACAAGUUUAAAGUAAAUCUCUGUGGAUUUAUUUUAUAUGAAUUCUUUGCCAUCAAAAGUGCUAUUUUCUUUUGAUAUGGUCUAUAUUCAGAAAAAUCUGCAAAAGCAAAUUCAUCUUUGAAAUAUGUUUGUAUAUUUCAAAUUAUAUAUAUUUUUGAAAUAUAUUUGUAUCAUUUCAAAUUAUAUGUAUUUGAUAUAAUAUAUAUAUAUAUAUAUAUAUAUAUAUAUAUAUAUUUCAUAUUACCUCAAAUAUGUGUGUGCAUGUGUGUAUGCACAUCAAAAUGCAUACUCUGUAAAUAAACAAAUACAAAGACACACAAAACUGUAUGAUAUGACAUAGGACUACAAAAAAAUCUACUUUAUUUGCUAUAUUGUUCAUAUUAUAGAAGUUAUUAGGCAUGAAUCUAUUAUUUUUUCUAUGAAUAUAAUAAGAUUUAAUGGAAAUCAUACCACAUAAAUGUGUAAAAUGGUUGCUUAAAUUUUAAUGUGAUUAAACCAUAUUUAUGCAGCUAUUGACUGGGCAUAUUUAUGGCCCAACUUCAUAAUACUUGAUAAAAAUUACUUUUAAAGUGGCUUAUUUUAAAGACAAUAGUCAAAUUUAACUCUAGAAAAAUUAAUCUUUCAACAGGCAACAAUUUUAAAACUAUUAGACAUUCUAAAACAAUAAUAGUACCAAAUUUACCAUGUUAUAUGUAUGACAGUUAUUUUCUUUUUCACGAUACUCUGAAUCCUAGCUUCUCUGUUAUAUCAUGGCUGAGUCUUUGUUUCAGUGGGCUGUCAAAUUUAAUUAAUUAAUUUUUCCCUUCAGCUUUCCUGUUUAGUAGAACUCUGUUCUCUUUGACAACUCUACUGGAGAUUUGUUUAGGAACACAAAAAGGGAUAAUUUCUGUAAAGACAAUUACCCCCUUAAUGGUUUUUGUUCAUCAAAAAGGUUUUCAGAUAUUUGAUUCAUGUUUUGGGAUGUAAGAAUACAUGGUUUAGAUCUUUUGCCAGUGAAAGAUCUGAUUUGAUUUUAGGGGAAAAAAAAACACUGAAAUAUUUAGAUAAUUAGUGUUUCAAAAUAAAGAUGCAAAAUGAUUUGAUAAUUAUAAUUUGAUGAAUUUUAAAUAACCAGAGAGCACUAAAGGGAAAAACAAUUUUAUACAUGGCUUUAUGUUGUAAUCCCAGCAGCUCAGGAGGUUGAGGUAGGAGGAUCCCAAGUUCAAAGCUAGCCUCAGCAACUUAGGGAGGUCCUAAGCAACUCCUCAAGACCCUGUUUCUAGUAAAAUAUAAAAAAGGACUGGGGAUGUGGCUUGGUGGUUUAGCACCCUGGUGUUCAAUCCCUUGUACCAAAAAAAAAAAAAAAAAAAGCUACUUAGAGGUCUUUUGUAAUUAAUGGGAAAGUUACAAGCACUAAGUCUGAAAGAUAAACUUUUCUUCUUUGCAAUAACAUCAGAAGUAUAGCUUACUGUUGUGAGUUUUGAAAUAUGGAACUACAGGAAUUUAUGUUUUACAUGAACCAUAAAAUAAGCAUGAUUUAGAUGAUGUGAUUGUGUGGUCUUCUACAUUUCUAAAAGUUGUUUUUCUUCCACCUUUCCCUUUUUCAUAUACUAAAAUAAACAUAAAAACACUCAAAAACUCAUAUACUCAUUAAGCUUGUCCACUGGAAGACUCUAAAGCAAUAGCUAAAAAUUGCUGACCUGAAACCAUUUCAUGUUUACAAGCCUAACUUUCAUUGUGCAUGAAGCAAACCCAGAGGUGCAUGGAUAAAAGAUUUGCAAUUCUGUGCAACAACUGAUAUGGUACCUUUUUAAAAGAAAAUGCUAUUAAAAAUCAGGUAACUUUCUCCAUUGGAUUGAAGAGACAAAAUGACAAAUGUAAACCUCCUACAUGCAUUCGCACAUGCACGCACAUGCACACACACGCUCACAGAAAGCAGCCGUGAGCACUCCAUUAGUGAAACUAGGUGAGGGCUAUGUGGGUAUUGAUGGCACAUCUUCCCAUUUUUCUUAGGACUUAGAAGUUUUCCCAUUAAAGGAAAAGUCUUCCCUAUUUACAGGAAAAUUAAAAACAUGCACAGUCCUGGACUAAAUCUGGAGUUGGGCAGUCCAACAGUAACAUGUAUUUGUUGGACAUUUGAGGAAGUUUUAACAAGAAUUGCUACUAGAUGAAACUUAUUAACAUGGGCAAAUAAAGGUCAUUACAGGCAGAGAGAGAGAGAGAGAGAGAGAGAGAGAGAGAGAGAGAGAAGAAGAAGAAGAAGAAGAAGGAGGAGGAGGAGGAGAGAACCCAAGUACAGUAAUGUAAAAAACAUCAUGCACUAUAUGGUCUUAUUUUGGAAAAAAAUAAGUAAAAAUUAAUACACAAAGGUUGUUAUAGUGAUCAUCUCUGUUUGGUGGUAUUUUGUUUCCUCCUUUAAUGCUUAUCUCUUUUGUCACAUUUUUUCAAUGAACAUAUGUACCUUUAAAAUAAUAAAAUGUAAUAUCAGUGUAAAAAUAUAUUUUUUAAAAAAGCAAAUUCUUGUUGCUAUAAGGAAUAUGAAAUUAUGUUUGUAUUGGUAUUUAAUUUUUGAGAAAACAAAUAUUUGAGUCUUCUAAAGUAAAUUAUUAAAAAUAAAUGCUAAUUUUUGGAGAGUAUCUAAUAUGAAAAUAUAUUGAAUGCAUUAUACUUUAAAGCUCACAAAUAUUAAUUUAUUUUUGGCUGAUUUUCUUAAUUUAUAAUAUCCCUAGAGCAGUUAAACAUAAAAGGAAUCCUAUUUUUCAAAUUAUCAUUGUUAAUAUGGAGUAGUCAGUGAAAGCUGUUUAUUAUCUUUAUUUCCUUGAAGUCCUCUUCAUAUUCUGGCAACUAAAAAUAACACAGAAAUAUCAUACUUGUUCACCCUUCUUAUGUGGCCAAUCCUAGAACAUUAUAAACUUUUACGGAAAGAAAAAUGUUAGUAUCAUGUAUUUUAGUGACAUUUGUGUCUUUGAACACAUUCAACAUAUUAUGGUAUUUUUCCCUUCAUUCUACCAGCUUUUUUCAAUUAUAUUAAAAGAUGGAUUCAGGUUAAAAUUUUAUGUAAUAUAUGAAUAGUAGGGAACUUUGAAAUGUACUGGAAACUGAGUAUCCUGAUUUUUAAAUUACAUAAAAGAAUAGAGGGAUAUAUUCCCUCUGACUUUUCACAUUUAUUCAAAUUGCAUGUGUACAACAGACACUGAAUAAUAGGCAUCACCUUAAUGUUUAUGUAGUCUUUUAUCUUUUAAAUAAUUUUUAUUUUGUAGGUCUUUGUAUUUUAAAAAUAGAAUGUGUUUGGUUUUCAAAUACACACCUACCUCUGUGUGUAACAUGUGGUUAUGGUCCUGAGUAUAUCAUCCCUUCGUCAUUUAUAGUCACAAAAAAUAUGGUCCAGGAACUGAUAGUAUAGAAGUGAACAACAGACACGCAAAUUACCUGUUUACAAAAGCCUCUUAUUAUGGUGAAUAAAGACAAGCAAUGAAAAAAAAAAAAAAAGAAACUAAAAAAGAACUGUAAACAGUGAUAAGGACCAUUAAGACAGAAAGCAAGAAGGUGAGAUUAUGAGCAACAAGGGAGAACAGAAGGGGCUAGAAAAGCUCAGGAAUACCUUUCUAAGGAUCUUGCACUUGAGAUAGAGCUGCAGUUCACAUAACCACAAAGAGCAUCUUGACAACAGAAAUCAGAUCACCAAGAAUGAUGGCCUUCCAGUAGUGCCUGGUGCUUUAGGGCUUCCUCACAUUGGUUUUAGUUUGUCUUCUUACUUACAGGUCUAUUUCAAUCUAUACAGCACUAUACAUAAACCUGUAAAUAAAUGAACACAAGUACACAACAUCAUGUUAUGCUUGUAAUUAAACUCACACACAUACGAAAUUUCUCAGGAAGCUUUAAAAGACAAACCACAUUCCUCUAACCAGCAUGCAUGACUGCUAGAAUACUGCCCUUUACUAUUUAUGUGAUUUUAUCUCUUUCUCUUUUCAAACAAAACUGCUUCCACCUAAACUGCUUCAGUAAAGACUGCUAUUCUUUGUUUCAGUUGUUUAGACUUUAUUUUUGAACCGUUUUAUCUCUAUCAACUUUCAGUCAUAUUUGACCUACCUUCUUACAUUUACCAGACAUAUGUAUUUUUAUCUUUUUAAAAUAUUGACAUGUCUUAUAUUUUGACAACCUACUGCUACAUAGGAUGAUUCAUCUUUUCCUAUAUUCACUUAUAUUUCUCCAACAAAAAUUGCACAUUCCAUGCAAGUGGGCAGCAUACUAUUCACUUCUUAGAUAUUGUAUUUCUUUUCAUACGUAUUACCUUUCAAAGUGGAAUUCUUUUUAAAAAUAGAGUGAAUUAUUUUGAAUUGUUUUAAUUACCUGUUACAGUUUUGAUGAAGUUCAGUGAUUUAAGGAUCAUAAUAAUAAUUGCUGCAGAAUAAAAAAAAAAUUUCUUGGAGUUUUGUAUUUAGGACUUUGAAUGGUAACAGUAUUUUACAGAAAUAUCAGGAGAGCCUUGUGAGAUUUACCUAUUAUUUUAUUUUCUUGAAGUUUUCUAUUUGAGGAAUGCAUUAAGAGUUGAGUGAAAUUGUUAUUUUUGAACCUACAUACAAAGCCAAAGAAAUAAAAUAUUGCUUAUUUUCUUCUGUUUUCCAUAUUAUGUUUUGUAGUAAAAUAUAUUUAAUUAGAAGUUGGGAGUUUGUAAACAUUAUUAAUAUAUUCUUUACAAAUAUUAAUAAUUUUUACUAGAAAAAUCAUUAACAAUGGUUUUAUGUUGGUCUGUUUUUAUUUAAAUGUUUUAAAUCUUCAUUUAAAAUUUCAUUUCAUUUUAUUAAUUUAUCAUUCAUUUCUUUUUUGUUUUCUUCUUUUCAAGGCCCUGUGGAAUCCUACAUGCACUGAAGUUUUAUUUAAACCAGUACAUAUUUCAACCUAGGCUAAAUCAUUAUUUGACCACAAGAAAUGCAUUACUAAUCUGUGACAUUAAACAAUGAGUAAAAUGAAUUUUUCUAUUAUUCUAUAUGUUAACUGUUUCUCAGAAUAUGUGAUACAAAAAUGUUUUCAUUCCAGAUACUUUAUACUUUUUGUAUUUGUAAAUAAUCACACAAACUUUUGAUGAAGAGUCAACUAAUAUAUGUCUGUUUUAUUCCUAUUCUAUUUUAAAAACAAAAAUAUACUUUUAUAUAGAAAUUACUUCUCUAUGCAAAUAUUCUAAAAUGUAAUAUUCCACUUGGCAGUAAAUGUUGUUACUCAACCUUCUCAUCCAUAUCAUUUGUCUCUCUGGUGAUAGUUUUCAUUUUUUUCAUCAUGUAUUCUAUGAAGAGUAGAUUAGUUUGAAAACAUUGCCUUAGUUUCUCCCAUCUUAGUGGGAAAAUUCCUACUGAAUAACUAAUUUAUCUGAAACCUCUUUUCUCUUGUGUUAAUAUAAAAAUAGUGUUUUCAAAUGGAAUAUGUAUUGAAGAGUCUUAACUAUAGUAUAUAUUAAAAAAAAAGAAAUCCUACUCAUAACCUUAUAGAGUUGAAGAAAUGCUUAUUGGCUACUGACCUCACACUGAAAGAUGUUUCUUUAAUGUGUCAUAAAAGGGUUUCUGUAUCCUGAACUUGGUAUUGCUCCCCAAUUUCUUUUGUUUCCUGUUUACUGCCUUUCUGUAAUAGCUCAUUUUAGUUAUCAAACAGCCAGGUGGCUACAAGGCACUUCUGAAUGACUCACUGUUGUGGGAACUGUGCAGGACAAUAGGAGAGCCAAAGAGCUCAGGACAGGACAGCACAUUUUCUAUCUCACAUACAAGCCAUGAAAUAGCCAUGGUUAAUGAUGGUAACAUUCAGAAAUACACAAUUUAUUGAAUUAUUUGAGUUAUUAUGUAACAUAUAAUAUGAAUAAUCAGAUGCUGGGCAUAAACCAUGCUAUUAAAUAAAACUAUAAAUGUAUUUAUUUAUACUGCCACAUGAUAUGUGCUUUUGUUGAUUUCACCCCUUAAAGCAUCCUUUUAGAAUCCAAGAUACAAAAACAUUUUUUAUUUCUCCAAUUGUUUUCAUAAUUUAUUAUUUUUGUCUCAUUUUUAAUUGUCUUAUUUUGAGUAUGACAUUUUUUUAGUGCAGAUAAUGCAAAACUCCAUCAUCUUAAGUAAAACAUUUGCCAGAUAAAGAUGUUGAUUAAUUUCAAUGGUCAAUAGUCUUUUGAAGAAGAAAGAAUACAAAUAUGAUAUUUUGACUAGGCUACAGAGAUAAAAACAUAUUUGCAAGAGGAGUAAGUCAAGAAUGCUAUUUUCACAAAAACAAGGUAGCAUAAACUGUCAUACAUAAACUNUUUUUUUUUUUUAAUUUUUAUUGUUGGUUGUUCAAAACAUUACAUAGUUCUUGAUAUAUCAUAUUUCACAAUUUGAUUCAAGUGGGUUAUGAGCUCCCAUUUUUACCCCAUAUACAGAUUGCAGAAUCACAUCAGUUACACAUCCAUUGAUUUACAUAUUGCCAUACUAGUGUCUGUUGUAUUCUGCUGCCUUUCCUAUCCUCUACUAUCCCCCCUCCCCUCCCCUCCCCUCUUCUCUCUCUGCUCCCUCUACUGACAUUCGUUUGUCCCCCUUAUAUUAUUUUUCCCCUUCCCCUCACUUCCUCUUGUAUGUACUUUUGUAUAACUCUGAGGGUCUCCUUCCAUUUCCAUGCAUUUUCCCUUCUCUCUCCCUUUCCCUCCCACCUCUCAUCCCUGUUUAAUGUUAAUCUUCUUCUCAUGCUCUUCGACCCUACUCUGUUCUUAGUUACUCUCCUUAUAUCAAAGAAGACAUUUGGCAUUUGUUUUUUAGGGAUUGGCUAGCUUCACUUAGCAUAAUCUGCUCUAAUGCCAUCCAUUUCCCUGUAAAUUCUAUGAUUUUGUCAUUUUUUAAUGCAGAGUAAUACUCCAUUGUGUAUAAAUGCCACAUUUUUUUUAUCCAUUCGUCUAUUGAAGGGCAUCUAGGUUGGUUCC
rnacentral:lncRNA from 1 species